GAGUUUGAGACCAGCCUGGGGCAACAGGGCAAAACCCCAUCUCUACAAAACUGCACCCAGCUAUUUUGUAUUAUUUUUAUCUCGUUGCUUUUUUUUUUUUUCUUUUUCUUUCUUUCUUUUUUUUUUUUAGUGGUUUCAGGCAGUGGUUCAGACCAGCUGCUAGAGAAUCAUGGGCUAAGAAGAGAAGACUACCAAUUUAGUAGAUUUGGACAUGGACAAGCCACAGGCAGUUUCUCUUCUCACUCUCUUGGCCAGUCAUCUCUUGCUCACCUUCCCCUGCCAGUAGCCAGUAGCAUGUGACAGCCUCUAUAUUCCAUCUCCCUUUUCUCCCUCUUCCAGAACUAAGAUGAGUUUUCAAUGGAUAACUGUACAGAAACAUACCCACUGCUGAGUUUAUAAUAAAUAGGUAAAUGGUGUUUAAAAUGCCUUCUGUAGGAAUCCUUGGUAGAUAGUUAUAUGUGGUUGUUUUUUGGGAAGUUGGCUUGAGGUUCUUUGAAGGGCUGGGAACGUGUAUUUCUUUUGCGUGUGCCUGUGUGUGUCAAAAUUUUAUAUGUUCAUCAGUGCUCUACACGUUCAGAGAAACGUUUCCAAUAACGAACCAUAGAAUGAUCCCUGGAGCAUAGGAUCCCACUGUUUGAAAAUUCUAGCCAUCGAUCACUUUAUAAGAAAAGGAUGAAAUUUCAAACAAGGAGUUUGUUUAUCUGAUUUCCACCCUACAGAUAAUAUAUAAAUUUGGCCAAAGUUGUUUGGGGAAGAGGGGCUGUUGUUAGGUACUGAGCUAUAAUACUUUGUUGCUUUGUAUCACUUUUAAAAGUGACUUUUAAAGAUACUUGACAUUUGAAAAGGAAUCACCUUUGAUCUUUCUAAGUCCCUAAUUUGACAUUACCUUUAUAGCAUAUAAUUUAUUCCAUAAAGUCUUAGAUCCUGAAACUAGUGGAAAGCCAAAUACUCAUGUUGUGCUAUAAAUAUAGGAUUGACAGUUAAGCUUACUCAGUAGUCAAGGGGGCGGCUUUCACUCACCAGCCUCCAGGGCAUAUGAACCAAAUUUAUGAUUCAGAACAUUUAAAAUAUACAUUUUGAAGAUCUUUGGGCUCUCUUAAGUAUAGUCUAACUAUAAUAAAUAUUAAACAUGUCAAAGGUCUCUUGCAGUGUUGGGAAGAGCAUUCUAAACCACAUACAUCUUUCCCAUCCCCAGAUUGUUCUGUGUCCCCUCCCACUCUUCCCAGAUUAGAAGUCACCAUGGAGCACUAUUAGUAAUGGGACUCUGUAUCAGAUCUUUAAGGUGUAUUGGGACAGAAGAAAGGUUGAUAUUUUGGGGUUGUUUGUUUUUUUUGAGACGGAGUUUUCACUCUUGUUGCCCAGGCUGGAGUGCUAUGGCGUGAUCUUGGCUCACUACAAUCUCCGCCUCCCUGGUUCAAGCAAUUCUCCUGCCUCAGCCUCCUGAGUAGCUGGGAUUACAUGCGCCCACCACCAUGCCCGGCUAAUUUUUGUAUUUUUAGUAGAGACGGGGUUUCAUCAUGUUGGCUAGGCUGGUCUCGAACUCCUGACCUCAGGUGAUCUGCCUGUCUUGGCCUCCCAAAAUGUUGGGAUUACAGGUGUGAGCCACCAUGCCCAGCAGGUUCAUAUUUUUAAUGUUUCCUUCUACUCCCCAAGCACACACAAAUUUGAAAGCUGCUUUGCUUUCUAAUAAAGAGGCUUUUCCUUUGAUUUUGGAAGAUAAUUUGAUGUCUCUUUUCUCUUUGCAGGUAUAUGAGCUCCCUGAAAGCACAAAGCAGUUAUUUCCAUCUUCAGAUCAUUCAGAGAUUAUGAAGGCACAAACCCUGCCUUCAAUUUGCUUAUAGUCAAGUGGAGCAGACACAAGUCAAUGAUUGCAGUAUAGCCACUGAAGUAAUCUAAAAGAGGUGAGUGUGGCACUUAACCUCUCCUGGGAGGGGGAGGAAUAAGGCAGUGUUUCCAAGAGGUGAUUUUGGAGCUAUACAGGCAUUAGGUAGACAAGGAAGGGGAGGUCCAUUCUGGGUGCCUAGGACUCUGUGGCUGAUUUAUAAAUCGUAAAUGGUACAAAAAACAGUGUUGAGUAUCUUUUACCUUUCUCCAGAGUACUGUUCUUACUUUUGGAUAGUGCUUCUUGUUUUUUCCUUCCCUCUCCCUGUCCCUGUCACCUUUAAAUUAAAUGAAUGUUUGGAAGGAAGUAGGAGGGUAAGAAUCUUUCUGGGUGGCAGAAUAAUAGAUGGGUCUACCAAGAGCGAUGUAUAUACCCAGUAAAGCCAUCUCUAAAACUGUGUUUCUGCAUUGUUACAGUGCAUAGUUGGGAAAUCUCAGUUUUGUUGGCUGUGUACUUUCCCAGUGAAUGGAUUAUAUUCCUUUCUGCGAGCCAGUCUGUUUGAAUUUAAGGGCAUCUCUUAAAUUCCUUUCAAGCAAGAGACCUAACAUUUAUACUUAGGAAUGAGAGUAGUAGAGACAGCAAGAUUAGAAUCCAAGUUCAUAUACCAAAACAUUUUUAUUUGCUAUGUCUGAGUGACUACAUGUUGUUUGAAUCAACUGCAGGCUAAUUUGUAACAUUUCAAAUAAAUGAUAGUUUAAUUCCUCCAGGAUUUGAGUAAGGUGAAAAUAGAGCUAAAAACCAUGAUUCUGUCACAGUCUGGGAAAAUGAAAAAGCAAUCAAUUAGUGAGUUGGGCUUAAUUUUUUUUUUUUUUUUUUCUGGAACUGGUGAUAGCAGAAAACAAGCAGUAAAGUAGUCAGACAUGAUAUACUUGACAAGAACCACCACCUGUUCAGUAGCAACUCUAAAAUAAGUACUAACUUAGGGGCAGUUGUUGUGCCCAGGUCAUAGUCAUACUCCUUCCAGGAGACUUCCUGAUGACAGAAAAGAUGCUGACCAGCUGGGGUCUUCUUUCCAAAUAACUUUUCUCUUGCAUUUAGAUUAAUUAACCAUUGGUUACAGUGAAACAAGCAUAUGUACAGAGUUAAUCUCCUAUAGCUUGAAGUUAUACAUGAUCUUUAUUUGAGUAUCUUGACUUGUUAAAGGACAGUGUUUUAAAAGCUGGAUUUGGUUAUGUUCUUCUGGAGACUAAGAAAAUAGAGUCCUUGAAAUCAAGCUGACUCUGCUUUUAGCCUCCUAAAUGAAAAGGUAGAUAGAACAGGUCUUGUUUGCAAAAUAAAUUCAAGACCUACUUAUCUACCAACAGCAAUUACACGCUUUCCAUUGUCUUCCUAUAGAAAAUAGGAGUAGUACACUUAUAGAUGAGAAAACUGGAGAAAGACAUAGUGAACAUGUGAGAAUCUUGCUCUACUAAUUGAUAGGAAGGUGACUAGAAAUUGGCGAAGUUUUCUUGGUAAGUUGAGGAGAGGACUUUUCUUAUAGUGCAGUCUGGUAGCUGAACCGCCUUGCAUCAAGACCAAUGUAGUCUUAUUUACAGAAUGCCACAUCACAGUGAAUUGUGCUGUGGACAGCUUCCAGUGUGUGAGUUGUGGAAGAUGAUGAUUUUAACAGAUUUUGGAGGAUGAGAAGUAUUAAGAAGAAGGCCCCACUGUCCAUGCAUUUGCUCUGCUUUUUACUUUUGACCAAGUAUACACUUCAGAAAUAUCUUAUUGGAUGUAUACAAAGUGAUUGUGUGUCAUUUGAACCAGCAGGAAGUAAUUUAUUAAACACACUUUUCUAAAUAAAAGUCAUUUAAUUUUAUCAGAAAUCAGUGUCAUUUUAGAUUGCAAGUCUCAAACCAACUUUCCAAUUCUGACUUGUAAGGGUGCCUUAAAUCCUGAAUACUGUACUCUGUAUUACUAAACCCAUGUUAGUUUACGCCAAGAUUCUGUGGUGGUUUUACAUAUUCUUUUUCCCCUUUGUUAAGGUGGGGAGGCCACAGCUUAUGUGAAUGACUUUCUCAGGAGUUAUAAAGUGAUACAGACUUAUCAGCAGGUUGCAGGUGAACAUGGCCUUGAGAUGUUUUCUUCUAAAUAAAUGAGAAAGAUGUUUCAACAAAGGCUCUUUAUGCUGAAUAAUUGUGAUGCUUGAAGUUGCUAAUCUGCUUUAAGUGGAUUUUAAAUGUCAGGCAAUUCUAGACAGUUUUUUCUUGGUCAAAUAAAAAUUUAAUUAAAACUUUAUA
rnacentral:lncRNA from 1 species